GAGUCUGGGCCCUAACAAAGCCGUCUUUCCCUGCCUAUAAUGAAUGCAUAGGCAGAUACAAGAGGGACCAGCAGACUAUGAACGGAAGGAUUGCCUGCAUCCUGUCAAGGGAUCAUAGAAGCCAGGUCUCCACCUGAAUUCUGAUUUCAUCCAUCCUUUGCACCUCCAUCCUGCAGCCAAUCCAAUGAAAAAUGACUGUGUUGGUAAUCCUGAGUGUGAAGGGAACAACUGACUCUCUGACAGGAGGACUCUCUGCGUCUCCCAGGGGUCUCCUCAACCUGGGAGUGUUCAUGGCUACCCACCACUGGCAAGCCCUGAGUGCUUCAGAAUCUCUGGUUCCCUUCACUCACUGAUGCUUCUGUAAAAAAAAAAGUCCCUUCAUUAACUUCUGUUCAACACCCCAACGGAGGAU